CCUACGGGUGGCAGCAGUGAGGAAUAUUGGUCAAUGGGCGGGAGCCUGAACCAGCCAAGUCGCGUGAGGGAAGACGGUCCUAUGGAUUGUAAACCUCUUUAGGCGGGGAGCAAUGCCGGGCACGCGUGCCCGGAGGGAGAGUACCCGCAGACUAAGCAUCGGCUAACUCAGUGCCAGAAGCCGCGGUAAUACGGAGGAUGUGAGCGUUAUCCGGAUUUAUCGGGUUUAGAGGGUGCGUGGGCGGAUUUUUAAGGCAGCGGUAAAAUGUCCGGGCUCAACCCGGGCCGGCCGUUGAAACAGGGGAUCUUGAGUGGGCGAGAAGUAUGCGGAAGGCGUGGUGUAGCGGUGAAAUGCAUAGAUAUCACGCAGAACUUCGAUUGCGAAGGCAGCAUACCGGCGCCCGACUGACGCUGAGGCACGAAAGCGUGGGGAUCGAACAGGAUUAGAUACCCUUGUAGUC
rnacentral:rRNA from 1 species